rnacentral:rRNA from 1 species
GGGGAAUUUUGGACAAUGGGCGAAAGCCUGAUCCAGCCAUGCCGCGUGAGUGAAGAAGGCCUUCGGGUUGUAAAGCUCUUUCAGACGGAAAGAAAACUUCGAGGCUAAUACCUUCGGAGGAUGACGGUACCGUAAGAAGAAGCACCGGCUAACUGCGUGCCAGCAGCCGCGGUAAUACGUAGGGUGCGAGCGUUAAUCGGAAUUACUGGGCGUAAAGCGUGCGCAGGCGGUUUUGUAAGACAGCUGUGAAAUCCCCGGGCUCAACCUGGGAACUGCGGUUGUGACUGCAAGACUUGAGUACGGCAGAGGGGGGUGGAAUUCCUGGUGUAGCAGUGAAAUGCGUAGAUAUCAGGAGGAACACCGAUGGCGAAGGCAGCCCCCUGGGCCUGUACUGACGCUCAUGCACGAAAGCGUGGGGAGCAAAC